GUUGUCUUCUGAGGGGCCACGUGUAUCUGUAGUGCUGAGGACUCCUUGGGCCUCUGAAGUCACAGAGAGAACCCUGCAGGAGAACGGAAGGCUCCCUUGAUGGAACUUAGACAGCAAGGCCAGAUGCACAUCCCUGGAAGGACAUCCAUGUUCCGAGAAGAACAGAUAAUCCCUGUAUUUCAAGACCUCUGUGCACUUAUUUAUGAACCUGCCCUGCUCCCACAGAACACAGCAAUUCCUCAGGCUAAGCUGCCGGUUCUUAAAUCCAUCCUGCUAAGUUAAUGUUGGGUAGAAAGAGAUACAGAGGGGCUGUUGAAUUUCCCACAUACCCUCCUUCCACCAAGUUGGAACAUCCUUGGAAAUUGGAAGAGCACAAGAGGAGAUCCAGGGCAAGGCCAUUGGGAUAUUCUGAAACUUGAAUAUUUUGUUUUGUGCAGAGAUAAAGACCUUUUCCAUGCACCCUCAUACACAGAAACCAAUUUUCUUUUUUAUACUCAAUCAUUUCUAGCGCAUGGCCUGGUUAGAGGCUGGUUUUUUCUCUUUUCCUUUGGUCCUUCAAAGGCUUGUAGUUUUGGCUAGUCCUUGUUCUUUGGAAAUACACAGUGCUGACCAGACAGCCUCCCCCUGUCCCCUCUAUGACCUCGCCCUCCACAAAUGGGAAAACCAGACUACUUGGGAGCACCGCCUGUGAAAUACCAACCUGAAGACACCGUUCAUUCAGGCAACGCACAAAACAGAAAAUGAAGGUGGAACAAGCACAGAUGUUCUUCAACUGUUUUUGUCUACACUCUUUCUCUUUUCCUCUACCAUGCUGAAGGCUGAAAGACAGGAAGAUGGUGCCAUCAGCAAAUAUUAUUCUUAAUUGAAAACUUGAAAUGUGUAUGUUUCUUACUAAUUUUUAAAAAUGUAUUCCUUGCCAGGGCAGGCAAGGUGGCUCACGCCUGUAAUCCCAGCACUUCAGGAGGCUGAGGUGGGCGGAUCACCUGAGGUCAGGAGUUUGAGACCAGCCUGAUGAAACCCUGUCUCUACUAAAAAUACAAGAAUUAGCCGGGCGUGGUGGCGCAUGCCUGUAGUAUCAGCUACUCAAGAGGCUGAGGUGAGAUUAUCGCUUGAACCCAGGAAACGGAGGUUGUAGUGAGCGGAGAUCGCGCCACUGCACUCCAGCCUGAGUGACAGAGUGAGAAUCCAUCUCAAAAAAAACAAAAAACAAAAUUGCUUGCUAAAGAAGUGGUCUCCUGAGGUCUUAAGACAUUCCUGACAGUGUCUUGAGUGGGUGGGAGAGAGGCUGCUGUCAUUGCGCUGUGGAAUUUCACAGAUGAGAACCACGCCUAGCCAAAAUCACUUUUCCUGUUUGCCUCAGUGACACAGCUGCAGGGACCCUCGUGGAUGUUGUAUUAAAUAAAUUUGACCUUUGCUCUUUGCAGAUCUGUGAAAUGUUGUCUUCUGAGGGGCCACAUGCAUCUAUAGUGCUGAGGACUCCUUGGGCCUCUGAAGUCACAGAGAGAACCGAGCAGGUCUAUGUUUUUGUUUUGUUGUUUUGAGACGGAGAUUCGCUCUUGUUGCCCGGGCUGGACUGCAGCGGCGCAACCUCUGCUCACUGCAACCUCCGCCUCCUGGGUUCAAGCAGUUCUCCUGUCUCAGCCUCCCGAGUAGCUGGGAUUACAGGCACAUGUCACCACGCCUGGCUAAUUUUUGUAUUUUUAGUAGAGAUGGGGUUUCACCACGUUGGCCAGGCUGAUCUCGAAUGCCUGACCUUUGGUGAUCUGCCCGCCUUGUCCUCAUGUGUGCUCCACAGGCCUUUGGGUUGGGAUUGCAGGCGUGAGCCACCAUGCCCAGCCUAGACUCUUUUGACAAUAUGAUGAAAGCUGUUGGUUCCUUUCCCCAACACACACACACCGAGUUGUAUCACGAAAAUGUCAUACAAUUUCCAGGUUUUCUGAGUGGUGGGCUCAGAUUGAGGUCAAAGGAUCAGACGACCUCUAACGACCUUCAUGUCUCUGUUGAUGAUCUGGGGACAGCCAGAUCCCCUGUGUCCAGGGAGUUCCUUAGUCCCUUGCCACCACCAGAGAAGGGCAAUUGCCACGGGAGCUGCAAAGACCCUAUUCCUACUCCUGGUGCCUUACUUAUGCAGCACGACUGAAUUUUUUGUUUUGUUUUGUUUUGUUGAGACAGGGGCUUGCUCUGUUGCCCAGGCUGGAGUGCAGUGGCACAACAAUGGCUCACCGCAGCCUCGAACCCCUGGGCUCAAGCGAUCCUCCCAUCUCAGCUUCCUGGGUAGCUGGGACCAGAGGCGUGAGCCGCCAUAGCUGGCUAAUUUUUAAUUUUUUUUUUGCAGAGAUGAGGUUUCACCAUGGUGCCCAGGCUGGUCUCGAACUUCUGGGCUCAAGUGAUCCUCCCUCCUUGGCCUCGCAAAGUGCUGGGAUUGCAGGCAUGAGCCACCGCCCCCGGCCUGUGGAGCACACAUGAGUUUAAAAUUACUUUCCCUUCUGCCUAUAUUUCCGAGGAGGAAACUUCAUGCGCAGGGAUCUUUCUUAGUGGAUUUAAUGGCUAAAAGGUCUGUCUGAAUCCAGGACGCUGGCUUUAGCCUUCCUCGGCAGCUGCCGUAACCCCGGUGUCUAAACCUGAAGCAUCCCAGGAGCACCCACUCCAGGAGUUUUCUCGGCCGCGGAACUCAUUAGUUAGAGCGCCCUCUUGUGUUCUCAUGUGGUAAUCGGUCACUGAAGGACUUAAAAUGGUCCUUAGCCAACACACAGUAAAACUUUUCCCUCUUCUGACCCCAAGAGGUCAGCCACCCAUUUCAUGAGCAUAUACUGGUCGCCCCAUCAGCGUUCUCUGAUUGGCUAACUGAACCCACUCCCCGACCUAGACUCAAGACAGGCGAAGUGACGCUUAGGUCAACAUUCACUCACUAAAGCAACGACUGUCGGGCGAUUUUGUCUCCCGCUGGUUUUGGAAUGGUGUCUGGAGACAUUUUUGGUUGUCACAGCUGGGUGGGUGUGCUCCCGGCAUCUGGUGGGUAGAAACCAAGCAUGCUCCUAAACAUCCUACAGGCACAGAACCGUCUCCCACGACCAAGCAUGAUCAAGUCCCAAAUGCCAAUAAUGGCCAGGUUGAGAAACUCUGCACAGAAGCAUCCAGUUAUUUGUCUGUUUGCUCAACAAGCUUGUGCUCAUCAUGCUCUGUGUUCCUGACGCUGUGCUGGGUGUUGGCGGUGGGAAGAUUACAAGAGUCACAUGGCAGCUGUCCUCCUGGAAGGUACAACCCAGUAGAGAUGCAGACUAACAGAGAGCCAAUUACAAAGCAGUGUGACAAGCGUCAUGGUGGAAAAUUAAAAGCUCAAACAAGGGCACAUGGGAGGGGCUUCCAACACAGACUUUGGGGGAUCCAGGAAGGUCUAAGAGGAAAGUGGGUCUCACCAAAGCCUUGACCAUAGGCAGAGGGUACCAGUGGAAAAGGUGGGGUGAAGAACAUUGAGGACAAAAGGAAGAAGUGCAGGAAGGCCCUGAGGCAAGGGAGUGGGGGGUGCCCUGGAGGGAUGGCAGCAGGGCAGUCUGUCAGACCCAAGUGGCCUCCAGCCCUAGAAGCCAAUUAGUCCUCCUCAAAAAGCUGUCACUGUCCCCUAAGAAUUGCUGCCAGGCUCCCACUGGCCUGACUCAGUCUUUGAGAGUCUUAAGGAGGAGGUCUCUGAAAGGUACACACCAAGAACUCUCCCCAGCACAGCUGUUUUUAAGACUCUCCACCAGCGUCAUUGGCGUGUUGGGAAGAAACCCUCUGCCACAGAGGCCAGCUUCAGCCUUUGCCUAACACCGCAAGGGCAAAUGGAAAGGUAAACGGGAAGGAGAUGUCUCCCCAGCAGGCUAUUUGAGGACAGUCUUCCCUGCAGAAGAUCUCAACCUGGGGUCCACAGAGUGGAAAUGUUAGAGUAGGGAGCUAGGCAAACAUGAGCAGGACAGGUGAGGGCCCCCACAGGAAUGUCAGGCUACCAUCAGGUGAUGGUCAGGUGGUUGUUAAACUGUCUCUGUAAAAUAAUAAUUGGUUGCAGCCAGCUCCAAGCAAGGACAGUCUCUCAAUAGAUACAAAACACCCUGAUCUGGUGAUCAGCCGCUUCCCGAUAAGAUCUCAGGAGCUGGGCAAGCAGCCUGGAGCAUGCGCACCAAGAGGCAAAAUGGCGGAAUUUAACCAGUAUAUGACCUACCUUCCUCUGGGAACGCACGACUGGUAAGGGGAAAAAUGCCUCAAGUGAGCAUGCGCGCAACUUCAGUAAUCACACUGUGCAUGCGACCCCUUCCAAGUGCUGGCAGGUCACCACAUACGCGGACAGCCUGCUGCAAGGGAAGAAUCAGGGGAGAUGAGACGUAAAUCCCAGAACUAUGCCAAAUACAUAAAACCCCAAGUUAAGGGUCAGGCAGGGCACUUAGAUCUCUCAAGUUGCCUGCCUGACCCAAGUGUAGUGUACUUCCUUUUGUUCCUGCUCUAAAACUUUUUAAUAAACUCUCACUCCUGCUCUAAAACUUGCCUUGGUCUCUCCCUGUGCCUUAAAACCACUUAAAACCACCUCUGCCCCUCAGCUGAGUUCUGUCUUUGAGAAGGCAAGCAUCAAGUUUGCUGCAGACCCAUUGGAUUCACCACUGGUAACAGAAGUUGGGGUAAGGCGUGGGGCCUGAGAAUUCUCUAAGAGUAGGUGCAGCCGGGCGCGGUGGCUCACGCCUGUAACCCCAGCACUUUGAGAGGCUGAGGUGGGUGGAUCAGCUGAGGUCAGGAGUUCGAGACCAGCCUCAAUAUGGGGAAACCCCAUCUCUACUAAAAAUACAAAAUCAGCCGGGCGUAGUGGUGCA
rnacentral:lncRNA from 1 species